UACGGGGGGAGCAAGCGUUGUUCGGAUUUACUGGGCGUAAAGGGCGCGUAGGCGGCGCAACAAGUCACUUGUGGAAUCUCCGGGCUUAACCCGGAGCGGCCAAGUGAUACUGUCGUGCUAGAGUGCGGAAGAGGCGAGUGGAAUUCCUGGUGUAGCGGUGAAAUGCGCAGAUAUCAGGAGGAACACCAAUUGCGAAGGCAGCUCGCUGGGACGUUACUGACGCUGAGACGCGAAAGCGUGGGGAGCAAACAGG
rnacentral:rRNA from 1 species